GUGAAGUUUGCUUAUAUCCACAUAUCUUAAUCAAACACAAUUAUGUUAUGUUUUGAAUCUUAUACUUCUUUAAUUGGUGAUUUUGUAAUAUUUUGAGCCAAUCUGAUAUUGUAUGAUAAAACCAUUACAUUUUAGUGGGAUUGCCAAGGUCCAAUCCAUAGUCUCUUUUUGUCUCUAUGUGUAUGUCGUUGUAGAUACCUGCUCAUUAAUGCAUUUUGAAACGGAAUCCCUUGGAUAGUUUUCUGCUUCUGGAAGUGUGAUAAUGGUGGGUGCUUAGGUAUCUCUGCAUCUUUAGUUUUGAAUUUGCUCUUAUCUGAUGUUUUCGCUGUUUUAUCUAAUUAUAUUAUAUAUCAAUAGAGCUGCUUGCAAUUAAUAUACUAUAUACAAUUUUAACAUGCUUACUAUUCAGGUGCAAAGAAGAAACACCGAA
rnacentral:misc_RNA from 1 species